CUGGGCUACCUUUGCAGGAGGUGUUGCUGUAGGAAGAAGCGGUGGCUGUCAGGGCAGCUGAGCCUCAGCCUCAAGGGAGCGGACCCAGGGAGGUGAGAGAGCAGAUGAUGCCAAAGCAUUUUAUAUUUGUAAAAUUCCAUCUGAUACCCUGAACGAGCUCCUUCAGUACAACCCUCUGAGGAGUUUGCAUGUAAUAAACAGAAGACAACCCGUAUGCCCCCUGCACUUUAUGGGCGGACAAGACAAAUGGUCCGGUCUCAGAUGACAACCUAGAUUUAUAAUUUCACACCUGAAACGCUUGUUCGAUUACCAAGGAGGGGGACUGGAAAUUGUUCUCCUCCUCAGACCAUUUUCAGAAAAAGAAGCAGUUGAGAAAAUUACUUGUAGGGUCCUUUCUCUGGAAAGUAUCAUUGUUUUGGGUUUGUUUGUUUGUUUUUUCCUUGUGGCCGACUUAGGCUUAUAGUCUCUGUAGCUAUCUCUCUCUGUCUGUUGCCUCUCUCCAGAAGGAAAAAUAAACAAAACUCGG
rnacentral:lncRNA from 1 species